rnacentral:lncRNA from 1 species
UGAGGAGAAGUAUUUAUCUGGUAGUGAAAGUAAUUUUGGGGUGAUUUGAUGAAUUUGGAAAUAGAUUUGCGCGACAUCUUGAAAUGGGUUGGUUGACGUUGUAGAAGGAAAGUGAUGCAUCAGCCCAGCCAAACCUGCAGCAACAAGUCAGUCUACAGUCGUCUUUGCCUUGAACAGCUUCGAACGCUAGUUGCUCUCCCUUGUAAUUGUCUUAUUACUUUCAAAUUAAUAAUUUCGUUAUUAAUCGGUGUGUUAUUGUGAAUAUACUAAUUGAAUGCUCCCUUUCAUGUAUUUUAUUACGGGGUUGUGAAAUUAUUGGUGGUGAUAUGACUUUGGUUAGUGAGAAGUGAAACGUGGUUUUCGGUUCAUGUCUUCCUUUGAGGUGUGAGGUGAACCCAGUCAGCAACGCAUCGAAUGGAGCUUGGUAGACUAUACUGAUUCACUCCUGUCAUGGACCACAGCUUUCAAGUAUGGCACUUGACAGGUAUGGACCAAAUUUUUGGAGGAGAUACAUGAGACGAGUUAUGCAAUAUAUUGAAGAAGCCUAUGAUGUUGGCAUGGUGAUUAUAUGAUUGAUCUCCUAAGCUGUUAACUUAUCUCAUGGACGGACAACAUAUUUCAACGCAGUGAGCAGAGUGAGAGAGAACAAGAAAGGAGCUUUAGAUCUUCACCGGAACAUUUGACCGAGCGAAGUGAGCUCUCACCACCCGAGAUCAUCACUGAUGUGUUGCCGAGCGAAAUGAGUUGUCACCACCUGAGAUCAUCACUGUGUGUCGCCGAGCGAAGUGAGUUGUCACCCCCCUGUUGCAGUCUCCAUACAUCUGGAUUGCGCGGACACAGAAGAGAGGGACAGACACACCAGAGGAGAAUGACCAGCUCCACAGAAGAAGAGAGAUGGAGGAUAUCAAGAAGAAGCAGAUUACAAAAUAUUGAAACAAAGUGACAAGUGCAAAAUGACGAGACUCUAAUUUAGUGCAAUGAUUGAUUUCAAGUGAAAAAGUUGAGUGUGAGAAUGAAUAGACUCUAAUCUGGUUCCACUCACACCAAGGACAUUGAAAUGUUUUGUUGUUGUGUUAUGUUUUUCAGCUUUUGCAUGUUGUCAUGUUUUUUAGCUUUUGCUUGUUCUGAAAUAAAUGAGCAUGGGGUGUGUCUUUUUUUUGGGGGGGGGGAGUGCUUUUCAGGCAUCGAUGCUGGCUGGCAAGAGGAGGAGGAGAGGUGAGGACAUCACAGAACUUCAAAAAGGUAAAAGUCAGCUCUCAACCGAUUUUAACAGUUCAAUCAAAUUCUCUCUUCUCAUACUAUUCAUAUGCUUUUCAAUUUAUUUCAGUUUUCAUCAUUUCAAUCAUUUGUCUUUACAGUAUUUUAAAUUUUCAUACAAGUUAUAAUUAUUUACAAGUGGCAUCUUUCGAUGUAACUUGUGAAGCUUCUUCUUUUGAAUCAAUUUUUCUUUUAAAUACAUUCAAUUUGUAAAUACGUUCAAUUCUAAAGUCUGACUUUUGUAAUUAAAUUUGUAUUGUUGAACUGUUCAAUUCGGUUGUGGGCGACUUGUAUGAAAUUGGUGAUGCAUGCCUAGACCAUCAACCCCUUUUCAGUAGUUUCUUUUCAGUUCUUUUUCCUUUAGUUUUGUUUUUGAAAUUUCAAUUUUAUUUUCUCACUGUUUAGUUUCAGGUUUUAUUUAUUUGCUUUGGAGGCGAACCUUCAGUUCAAAUUCAAUAUCGAAGUAUAUGUCGAUACAUGGUUAUUUUUUGUUUUCUUGAGCAUUUAGGAAAUGUCCCUUCCAUUUUUAGUUUCAGUUCUUUCUGUUCUAGGAUUGACCCUUUUCAUAAUUCUUUGCUAGAUUGUUAAUGGACUCUCAGUCCAUUACUCAAUUCCCCUUUCUUCUAAUAUAAUGUUAGUUUCAUUUAAUUGUUAGAUAUUUAGUUGGGUGUUGCCACACUGUUUGCUUUUUUCAGGUGGAAAUCGUCUUCAUCUUCUUUCUCCUGUAUUUUUCUUUCUUGUGUCUUGUGUUGUUGUUGCAUCUUUCAAAAUAUUGUUAGCUAACUUCUAAAAACUGUCAUAUCUUCUGUAUAUUUUUGUAAAGUGUAUUUUCAAUUGUAAAAUGUGCAUGUAAUCCCUUCCUUUACCUCAUAUUCAUUUUCUGCUUUGCCUUUCCCUCAUCCUCUCCAGUGUAAAUACCUUACCUACUUAGUUCUUCUGUCUCCAUCUCUCAUGUAGUAUUUAACCUCAACUCAUCCUUCCUCUACUACACUCGCUCUCCACUUCCUCUAAAUCCAAAUCUACUUUCACUCCUCAUUCCUUAAUUUUUUUCCAACUGGCAUUUUCAUUUCAUAGGCAUUCUUACCACCUUUUCCUUAUUCCUACUAUCAUUCCCAUUUCUGCAUCCUUAUCCUGAUAUAUUUCAUCUUCCUCCACAAUUCACUGCUAUCAUUCCUACCCCUUCAUCCAAAUCCUGGUAUUUCUUGUCUUCCUCCACAAUUCCUUGCUAUCAUUCCUAUCCCUGUAUCCUUCUGGUAUUUUUGUCUUCCUCCACAAUUCCUUGCUAUCAUUCCUACCCCUUCAUCCAUAUCCUGGUAUUUUUUGUCUCCUUCCACAAUUCCUUGCUAUCAUUCCUACCCCUUCAUUUAUAUCCUGGUAUUUUUUGUCCCUUCCUACAAUUUACUUCUAUUAUUCCUACCCCUUUAUCCAUAUCCUGAUAUUUUUUGUCUAUAUCCACAAUUCUUUGCUAUCAUUCUUAUAUCUGUAUCCUUAUCCUGAUAUUUUCUGUCUCCUUCCACAAUUCCUUGCUAUCAUUACUACCCCUCCAUCCAUAUCCUGGUAUUUUUUGUCUCUAUCCACAAUUCCUUGCUAUCAUUCUUAUAUCUGUAUCCUUAUCCUGAUAUUUUUUGUCUCUAUCCACAAUUCCUUGCUAUCAUUCUUAUAUCUGUAUCCUUAUCCUGAUAUUUUUUGUCUCUAUCCACAAUUCCUUGCUAUCAUUCCUACCCCUGCAUCCAUAUCCUGGUAUUUUUUGUCUCGAUCCACAAUUCCUUGCUAUCAUUCCUACCCCCAUAUCAUCCAUAUCCUGGUAUUUUUUGUCUCUUCCCACAAUUUACUUCUAUCAUUCCCACCCCUUCAUCCAUAUCCUGGUAUUUUUUGUCUCCUUCCACAAUUUACUUCUAUCAUUCCUACCUCUUCAUCCAUAUCCUGGUAUUUUUUGUCCCUUCCUACAAUUUACUUCUAUUAUUCCUACCCCUUUAUCCAUAUCCUGAUAUUUUCUGUCUCCUUCCACAAUUCCUUGCUAUCAUUCCUAUCUCUGUAUCCUUAUCCUGGUAUUUUUUUGUCUCCAUCCACAAUAACCAGUCUGCUAUUCCCCUACCAUCCUAUUACUUCAGCUUGCUCAUCCUCCACUAUCAUGAUAACUUGCUCAUCUCAUUGUCACCCCCUCGUUUCAUACUGCAAUAUCUUCCAAUCUUCUGUAGCUAUCAUCACUUUGGCAAUCCCUUUCUAUUCACAACUGCCUUCACUACAAUCCAUUCCAUUCACACAACCCCUCCCCCUCCCCCUCCCUUCAUUCAUUU